rnacentral:rRNA from 1 species
AUGGCGUUGGUUCCUCACGGCGGUGGCGCGGGCGGAUCGGCGUCGAUGGCGAUGCCGAUGCUCACGGUGGACAACUACACCGUCUGGGCGAUCAAGGCGCAGGCCAUCCUCGACGUGCACACCGUGUGGGAGGCGGUGGCGCCGGGCGAUGCGGCGGUGAACGCGAGGAAGGACAAGACGGCACGCGCGUUGCUGCUCGGAGCGUUGCCGGAGGACGUGCUGCUCUCGGUGGCGACAAAGCCCACUACCAAGGAGGUAUGGGACUCCCUGAAGGUGAGGUUCGUCGGCGCCGAUCGGGUCCGUGCGGCAAGGCUGGCAACGCUGCGUGGGGAGUUCGACCGCCUGAAGAUGGCGGACGGCGAGGCGCUAGACGCGUACGCCAGGAGGCUGGCCGGGAUGAUGGCGAGGUACGCGAACCUCGGGGAGACGCUGGGCGACGCGGCGCUCGUGAAGAAGCUGCUGGACACCGUCCCGGAUUGGCUGUUCCCCGUCGUCGCCAGCAUCGAGCAAUUCUGCGAUGUGAUGACCAUGGCGUUAGAUGAGGCGCUCGGGCGGCUGCGCGCGUUCGACGAGCGGGUUCGGCGCCGUGGACAAGAUGGCGGCGAGCACGGGGGUGAGCAGCUGCUCAUGACGGCGGCGCAGUGGGCAGCACGGGAGCGUCGACAUGGCGGUGCUCGGGACGACGACGACAGCAAGAGCGUGGCAUCGAGCAGUGGCGGGAACCGGCGUGGACGCUGCUACAAGUGCGGCGUGCGCGGCCACUUCAAAAGGGACUGCCCCAAGCUGCGGAGGGAGCCGGCGGCGGAGCGCGCGCUGCUGGCGGACGUCGCCGGCGUCGAGGACGACGGCCUCCUCUAG